rnacentral:rRNA from 1 species
GACGAACGCUGGCGGCGUGCUUAACACAUGCAAGUCGAACGGAAAGGCCCCUUUGGGGGUACUCGAGUGGCGAACGGGUGAGUAACACGUGAGUAACCUGCCCUUGACUUCGGGAUAACUUCAGGAAACUGGGGCUAAUACCGGAUAGGAAUCCUUGCUGCAUGGUGGGGGUUGGAAAGCUUCGGCGGUUUUGGAUGGACUCGCGGCUUAUCAGCUUGUUGGUGGGGUAGUGGCUUACCAAGGCUUUGACGGGUAGCCGGCCUGAGAGGGCGACCGGCCACAUUGGGACUGAGAUACGGCCCAGACGCCUACGGGAGGCAGCAGUGGGGAAGAUUGCACAAUGGGCGGAAGCCUGAUGCAGCAACGCCGCGGGCGGGAUGACGGCCUUCGGGUUGUAAACCGCUUUCAGCAGGGGCGAAGCUUGUGGUGACGGUACCUGCAGAAGAAGCACCGGCUAACUACGUG